AGUCAGGUGGUGUAAUUGGUAACAUCCUUGCUAUAUACAUAUGCAGAAGAAGCCCUGGGUUCAAUCCCCAGUCUGGCCA